UAGUUGAUUGUUCUGUUGUAGAUGUUAAAAUAGUUGUGGUUGUUGGUUCAGCUGUAGAUGAUGAAUCAGUUGUGGUUGUUGGUUCAGCUGUAGAUGAUGAAUCAGUUGUGGUUUUUGGUUCAGCUGUAGAUGUAAGUUUUGUUGUUGUUUCUGUAGUAGGGGCUGUUAUUGUAAUCUGUGAUGUAGUUAUAGGUGAGUUUGUUGUAACCAGGGUUGUAGAUUGAGCUGUACUUGUUAUAGGUAAGGAUGAUGUUGUUGUCUGCAUUGGGCUGCUUUGUUCAGAUGUAGUUGAUUGUUCAGUUGUAGGUGUUGAAGCAGUUAUGGUUGUUAGUUCAGUUGUAGAUGAUGAAGCAGUUGUGGUUGUUGGUUCAGCAGUAGAUGUAAGUCUUGUUGUUUCUGUAGGAGGGGUUGUAGUUGUAGGUGAGUUUGUUGUAACCUCAGUUGUAGAUUGAGCUGUACUUGUUGUAGGUGCUUGUUGUGUUGCCGUCUGCGUUGUGGUGCUUUGUUCAGAUGUAGUUGAUUGUUCUGUCGUAGAUGUUAAAACAGUUGUGCUUGUUGGUUCAGCUGUAGAUGAUGAAGCAGUUGUGGUUGUUGGUUCAGCUGUAGAUGUUAAAACAGUUGUGGUUGUUGGUUCAGCUGUAGAUGAUGAAGCAGUUGUGGUUGUUGGUUCAACCGUAGAUGUAAGUUGUGUUGUUGUUGUUUCUGUAGGAGGGGCUGUAGUUGUAAGCAGAGUUGUAGUUGUAGGUGAGUUUGUUGUAACCUCAGUUGUAGAUUGAGCUGUACUUGUUGUAGGUAGGGAUUUUGUUCCUGUCUGUGUUGUGGUGCUUUGUUCUGAUGUAGUUGAUAGUUCAG
rnacentral:lncRNA from 12 species